AGGUUUGUUCUGCUGCAGCCAUCACGAGGUGAUGCUUUUUCAUCUGGCAACAGGACACACCCACCAAACUGAACAGGCAUGUUUCCUUCAUGCCACCUCAGUGUACAUUCAGUUACUGUGCUGUGUAGCAGGGAGACGUCACAGAAAGACCACUCGGAGGCAAAUUCCAGAAGAAGAUCAUAUGAAAACCAGAUUUCCCUUGCUUUCCUCCUCCUCCUCCUCCUCCCUGGCUAUGCUGAGAAAUUCAUUCUUUUUCCUCCCAUCCCCACCCUGCCUCCACAAAUCACCUGCGUCUCGACAGACACAUACUUUCAAGCCUCCUUGAGAUGGUUCCUGACUCAUGUGGAGUCAUGGGGAGACAGAAGGCCUCAGAACUGUGAACCUUCCCGGAGUCAGGGA